GGCUGCGGCUGCAACGGACCGGCAGCUCAUGCUGUGUGUGCCACUGUGACUGUGGCAUCCACGGACCAGGACCCGGCCAUAUUUCACGUGAACUGCAUCUAAAAAUUCAUCUAGGAAAUGGUGAAAACAAAAAGCGAAAGCAAAAGGCAAACAUCAAACAAAGGAAUGAAAAGGUGAAAGUUUGGGGUCUAUUGGGAUCACUAUCGCUGCAUGGAGUUCUACGAUUAUAAACGGAUUCUCUCUCUCUCUCUCUCUCUCUUGUUCUCCAGCUAUUCCCUGAUCACACCACCCUUCGCUUCAAACGGGAGAGCCGCAUUCAAGUUUCAAUAUGGCGUCGGUGCCGUUUCCGCAUGGCUCCUCAGAUGCUGCCGUUGAUAGACGCGCUUUAAAUGCAUAAAAUUGCCGACUAUAAAUAACAUUUAAUGAAACACAUUUUUCGAUUCUUAAUUCUACACACAUCCGCAUCUCAUUCCCGGCCUGCCCUGCCCUGCCCCUCCCCGGCCUUCCCAGGGCCACCGAUUCCCUUACCCGAUUUGGUUUUGGUUUUCCAUAUUGUUUUUGGCAAAGGAGGAGCAGAGCAUUUAGCUUGGCAUCUUCUAUGCUUUUUGAGUUAUUAUUGUAAUUUGGCUGUGGGCAGUCAUGUAGAACGAUUGCGGUGCACCCAGUUGCAGUUACUCCGGAGUCCGGACCCGACCAGGCCGGGCCCAAGGGAGCAACGUUUGGCAUUCUCUGUUCAUUUAAAUUUUUCACAGUCUAUGAAAUAUAAUAAGUUUGCGACAUGUGCAUCAUCACAAUGUUCUCUUCGGGGCAAACGAAAC
rnacentral:lncRNA from 1 species